ACUAAAUGGUGGGCGUGGAGUCUGAAAAACUCAUAGAUUGUGUGUUGAUAUCGGCUUCUUCUCUUGCAAUUUCUACGAGAUUGGAGUUAAAUGACAGCACUACAUUU